rnacentral:rRNA from 1 species
GCCGCGUGAGGAAUGACGGCCUUCGGGUUGUAAACCUCUUUCACCAGGGACGAAGCGCAAGUGACGGUACCUGGAGAAGAAGCACCGGCCAACUACGUGCCAGCAGCCGCGGUAAUACGUAGGGUGCGAGCGUUGUCCGGAAUUACUGGGCGUAAAGAGCUCGUAGGCGGUUUGUCGCGUCGUCUGUGAAAUUCUGCAACUCAAUUGUAGGCGUGCAGGCGAUACGGGCAGACUUGAGUACUACAGGGGAGACUGGAAUUCCUGGUGUAGCGGUGAAAUGCGCAGAUAUCAGGAGGAACACCGGUGGCGAAGGCGGGUCUCUGGGUAGUAACUGACGCUGAGGAGCGAAAGCGUGGGUAGCGAACAGGAUUAGAUACCCUGGUAGUC